rnacentral:rRNA from 1 species
CCAGACUCCUACGGGAGGCAGCAGUGGGGAAUAUUGCACAAUGGGGGAAACCCUGAUGCAGCGACGCCGCGUGAAGGAAGACGGUUUUCGGAUUGUAAACUUCUGUUCUUAGUGAAGAAGAAUGACGGUAGCUAAGGAGCAAGCCACGGCUAACUACGUGCCAGCAGCCGCGGUAAUACGUAGGGAGCGAGCGUUGUCCGGAAUUACUGGGUGUAAAGGGAGCGUAGGCGGGACGGCAAGUCAGAUGUGAAAACUGAGGGCUCAACCUUCAGACUGCAUUUGAAACUGCUGUUCUUGAGUGAAGUAGAGGUAAGCGGAAUUCCUAGUGUAGCGGUGAAAUGCGUAGAUAUUAGGAGGAACAUCGGUGGCGAAGGCGGCUUACUGGGCUUUUACUGACGCUGAGGCUCGAAAGCGUGGGGAGCGAACAGGAUUAGAUACCCCCGUA